AGCUUUGCACAGUGGCAGUAUGGUAGCCAAUGAGGUUUAUCCGAGGCGCGAUUAUUGCUAAUUGAAAACUUUUCUCAAAUAUUUUGACUAAUAGGUUUUAGCAAAAUUGCAGAUGACCUGGGAUGG
rnacentral:snRNA from 1 species